rnacentral:rRNA from 1 species
ACGCUGGCGGCACGCCUAACACAUGCAAGUCGAACGGAGAAUUGAGAGCUUGCUCUUAAUUCUUAGUGGCGGACGGGUGAGUAACACGUGAGCAACCUGCCUCUGAGAGAGGGAUAGCUUCUGGAAACGGAUGGUAAUACCUCAUAACAUAACGAAACCGCAUGAUUUUUGUUAUCAAAGAUUUAUCACUCAGAGAUGGGCUCGCGUCUGAUUAGGUAGUUGGUGAGGUAACGGCUCACCAAGCCGACGAUCAGUAGCCGGACUGAGAGGUUGAACGGCCACAUUGGGACUGAGACACGGCCCAGACUCCUACGGGAGGCAGCAGUGAGGGAUAUUGCACAAUGGAGGAAACUCUGAAUGCAGCGAUGCCGCGUGGAGGAAGAAGGUUUUCGGAUUGUAAACUCCUGUUUCGAGGGACGAUAAUGACGGUACCUCGGGAGGAAGCUCCGGCUAACUACGUGCCAGCCGCAGC